GUAGGGAGCCGUCCCUGCAUUCUCCAUUACAAGAUGGCGCCUGCAUCUGGCAGGCACCGAAUGUAAACAAGAUUAUUGCGCAGGCGCUGGGUAAAUUUCCAUUCCUUGAUCUCUGCCUAUUCCGUGGCGUCAUAUGGCCGGAUGAGCUGCAGCCAAUCAUAGGGUAACACGUCCCAGGCGGCGGCUGCCAGCCUUUAUUAGGGGACGGGAUUCUUAGCUCAGGGUCUCCGCUCUGGUAAGCUUAUGCUCUCCUCUCAAGACGCAUUAAAGCUUUCCUGCAGAAGGAUCCGAGUGUCCUGCGUAUGAUUUCUUGCUGGCGAGAAAUACAGAGAGCGCGCGGGACAUAUGGUGCCGAAACCCGGGAACAUGUGAACAUUUCCAGCACCUCGGAGACCCCUCUAACGAGGCGGAUUCAGAACUGCAGGGUGGUAAAUUCGGAGAGGAUGAAGAAAAUCCCCUGUGGAUCCCGGAAAGACUCAACCUGAAGAGCCUCUUCGGACCUUCAAAAGUCGGAACUCCACCCUUCCCCCGGGAGUUGAGAGCCGCUAUUAUCCAGAUUAACUCCUGUCCUUGACGGAGGGACUGUCAUCAUGGAUUGCUUCAGCUGUCUCCUAUUUUAAGAAAAUGGGUAGAGGUGGGAUUGUUUGGUGCAGCCGUUUGCUGCGGAUUGAUGUUGCUUCUCUGGCUGGUCUGUAAGCUCAGGGCUCAAACUAAGAGAGACAAGGUGGUUAUCGCCCAAGCGCUUGUAGCUUUGGAACAAGGAAGCAAUAGGCCGCUGGCCAGACAGCUCUUGCACACCCGGAGCCUAGGCUCAUUGCACAGGGUAGAGUGCCUGGCUUGAGCAGCCCAUGAGGGAUGUGAGCAAGGCAUCGCACAGAGAGUUGCACAAUAUGCAGGCUUCUCUGGGAGGCAUGUUGUCCUGCAUAAGGGUUGCCUGCCCUAGUCUCCCUUUCCCAGAAAAACGGCAGAGGACAGGUCGAGAGUGCUUCGGGUCAAGCUAACAGCCUAGUUGCGACUCCCGUACACAGUCUUAAUGUUUGAUUUUGGGAAGGUUCAACCUCUGCCUCUAUCCCUCAACAUUUGGGUGACCUAUUUGCUUGUAAAAAUAUAAAGCCUUAUCAUUAAUUAAUAAAAAAAGGGGGAUCUGUAGGGAGCCGUCCCUGCAUUCUCCAUUACAAGAUGGCGCCUGCAUCCGGCAGGCACCGAAUGUAAACAAGAUUAUUGCGCAGGCGCUGGGUAAAUUUCCAUUCCUUGAUCUCUGCCUAUUCCGUGGCGUCAUAUGGCCGGAUGAGCUGCAGCCAAUCAUAGGGUAACACGUCCCAGGCGGCGGCUGCCAGCCUUUAUUAGGGGACGGGAUUCUUAGCUCAGGGUCUCCGCUCUGGUAAGCUUAUGCUCUCCUCUCAAGACGCAUUAAAGCUUUCCUGCAGAAGGAUCCGAGUGUCCUGCGUAUGAUUUCUUGCUGGCGAGAAAUACAGAGAGCGCGCGGGACAAAAAAAAAAAA
rnacentral:lncRNA from 1 species